rnacentral:lncRNA from 1 species
CCUCAAACAUGCCUCCAAUGAAUGCUCUCUCAGAGGCUGUUUUGGGCUUCAUUGAUGAUAACCACAAAUGGGAUUCUUACUCAGAAUAUGCAGGAACAUGUAAAGUGUCAUUUGUUUUCUGGUCACAUAAAUUUAUUGAUAAGAAUUUCAUCACAAAAACAGAAAAACAUCUGAUUUUGUCUUUUCUUACUCAUUAGAUCGUAACAACUGCAUUCCUGGAAUGGCUGUCUCACAAUGCCACUGCACCCCUGCCUUCUAAACAGUGCUGCUAAAAGAGAGGAGAAGUGGGGACCCUAAGGAAUGUCAGACCAUUCCUAUUUGUGCAACAAAGUCAGUCCCUUGGCCCAAGAGACUUAAGAUCAACCUGGGAGAGUAUGACAUUAUGAUUGGCCUCUAAAUCUCUCAGGGGGUUGUUAUGACAUGGGGCCUAGAGACUGUGGAAGGGGCAGGAUAACUACCCUGGGUGCCAAUGAUAGGAGAAGUGUGCAUAGAGCACAGCCUGUCCCCUGGUCCCGCCUCUGGUGAGAGUCUGCAUAUAGCUGCAGCCCAAGUUAACUGUGGACCAUAAACAGCCCAGAGCCCCAACUUUGUCCUUAGUCCAACAUGAGUAAGAAUCAUGCUACAUAAGUGAAUCUCUACCUUUCCUGUAGUCUCUGAUUCUUCAAAAGAAAUGUCUCACUGGCCAGUGGGAGUGAUCUGCUUACCAGGCUACCUUCCUGCAACAAAGCCCUGGCCCCAGGACCCUCCUCAUAGGCAUAAGUCUCAGAGCUCCUCUGGGCAUCUUGGGUGGAGUGUAAAGAAUCAAAGAGUGCCUCAAAGGAGAAAUGUGCCCUGGGAAAAUGGGAAGCUGGGACUGUUUGAGUUCUGGUCUAGGGCUUCAGUAUCUUGCCUAGAUAGCACUCCUAGCUGUGGUGGUCCCAGUCAUUGAAGAGGACUUACAAACCUUGGAGAAAAGCACUUCCUAUGACGGAGACCCUUACACGAUCAGAUCUGGGCUCAAGAGCAGCAUUGCACUAUAGUCCUCAGCCCAUCUCAAGCACCAGAGUGGAAAGGAGAAAAUUCCAACGAAGGCACUCUAAAGCGUGGAGCCCAAGGUGGAGGCCCAAAUCAUCCAGC